rnacentral:rRNA from 1 species
CAAUAGCGUAUACUAAAGUUGUUGCGAUUAAAAAGCUCGUAGUUGGAUCUCAGGCAUGGGCGCACGGUCCGCCUCGCGGCGGUCACUGUGUGUGUUGUUUCCCAUCCUACGCUUCCCGGUUAUCAGCCCAUGGUGCUCUUCACUGAGCGUUUUGGGUGGCCGGAACGUUUACUUUGAAGAAAUUAGAGUGUUCAAAGCAGGCACGUCGCCUGAAUAAUGGUGCAUGGAAUAAUGGAAUAGGACCUCGGUUCUAUUUUGCUGGUUUUCGGAACACGAGGUAAUGAUUAAGAGGGACAGACGGGGGCAUCCGUAUUGCGGUGUUAGAGGUGAAAUUCUUGGAUCAUCGCAAGACGAACAACUGCGAAAGCAUUUGCCAAGCAUGUUUUCAUUAG